rnacentral:rRNA from 1 species
GAUGAACGCUGGCGGCGUGCCUAAUACAUGCAAGUCGAGCGAACGGACGAUAAUCUUUCUUCUCUGAUGUUAGCGGCGGACGGUUUAGUAACACGUGUAUAACCUACCUAUAAGACUGGUAUAACUUCGGGAAACCGUAUCUAAUACCGGAUAAUAUUUUUAACCGCAUGGUUCAAAAUUGAAAUACGGUCUUGCUGUCACUUAUAGAUUGAUCCGCGCUGCAUUAGCUAGUUUGUAAGGUAACGGCUUACCAAGGCAAAGAUGCAUAGCCGACCUGAGAGGGUGAUCGGCCAAACUGGAACUGAGACAGGGUCCAGAAUACUACGGGAGGCAGCAGGAGGGAAUCUUCCGCAAUGGGCGAAAGCCUGACGGAGCAACGCCGCGUGAGUGAUGAAGGUAUUCGGAGCGUAAAACUCUGUUAUUAGGGAAGAAAAUAUGUGUAAGUAACUGUGCACAUAUUGACGGUACCUAAUCAGAAAGCCACGGCUAACUACGUG